GAAGUUUGCGGGCUCAGUGCUUGCCCAGCUUUCCUGUCCACAGGAACGAGCUGCUGCACCUUCCCGGGGGACUGCACUAGAGAUUUUGUACUUUGGCUCUCACCUAGGACAUGACAAAAGGCUGCAAGGCUGAUUUUGCCGACUGGGAAUGUGAGGCUCAGAAAACCUGAGGGACUUGCUGAAAGCCGCCAGAAAAAAUAUGGUCAGAGCUGCAAAAAGACGAGAAGAGUUUGUGGUGCCCUGUACUACUGGAUUUUUACAUCUGCAUGAUGUUCCCAGAUGAUGUCUUUAAACUUACUAGGCAGUUUAUUUUCUGUGUCCUACAUGGCAUCCCUAACAGCAGAACCAGGACAUCCACCACCACCUCGCUGUGUCAGUGACGAUCUAACGUAUUCUUUCAAUGGAAAAGGAAAUUAAUUAUUAGAAGUUAUAGGGCAUUUGAUGAACCUGUGCCUGCUAAUUUUGAACGCCUCGGUUGAGUCCAGGGUGCGUUUGAGGCUGUACACAGAGAAAGGUCUUUGUGUUGAAAAUGAUUCCUCAGACAUCCGAAAUGCGCUGCCUCCCUCCCCCAUCGUCACAAAAUGUCACCAAGUGGCUUCCUGGGCUGCCGAACUCGCUGCUCUCUGCUCCCGGGUCUCCAUCUCUCUCCUCCUGGUAAUAUAGCUGAACAAUGUGCAGUUCCACUGCUGAACCAUGACACAUCUUGAUUUCAGUCUAAUAUUAGUAGAGAGCUUUCUCAUUUUACAGAGCAGGGUACAUCUGCCCCUUCGAGAUUGCUCUGCGGUGUAGAUCGUCUUUUCCCAAACCUGCCGACGGAAUGACCCCUUGCGGCAUAAUCAUCCACUUUGUUCCUGUGGAAUAAAGCUAGAUUGGGAAUAAAUGAUUUAAAUUG